UACGGAGGGUGCAAGCGUUAUCCGGAUUCACUGGGUUUAAAGGGUGCGUAGGUGGGUAUUUAAGUCAGUGGUGAAAUCUCCGAGCUUAACUCGGAAACUGCCAUUGAUACUAUUUACCUUGAAUGCCCUGGAGGUAAGCGGAAUAUGUCAUGUAGCGGUGAAAUGCUUAGAUAUGACAUAGAACACCAAUUGCGAAGGCAGCUUACUACGGGGUGAUUGACACUGAGGCACGAAAGCGUGGGGAGCAAACAGG
rnacentral:rRNA from 1 species